UACGUAGGGGGCGAGCGUUGUCCGGAUUUAUUGGGCGUAAAGAGCGUGUAGGCGGCCAUGUAGGUCUGCUGUGAAAACUCGAGGCUCAACCUCGAGACGUCGGCGGAAACCAUCUGGCUAGAGUCAGGAAGAGGAGAGUGGAAUUCCUGGUGUAGCGGUGAAAUGCGUAGAUAUCGGGAGGAACACCUGAGGCGAAGGCGGGCUACUGGGCCGAUACUGACGCUGAUGCGCGAAAGCCAGGGGAGCGAACGGG
rnacentral:rRNA from 1 species